UAGGGAAUCUUCCACAAUGGGCGCAAGCCUGAUGGAGCAACGCCGCGUGAGUGAAGAAGGUCUUCGGAUCGUAAAACUCUGUUGUUAGAGAAGAACAUGCAGGAGAGUAACUGUUCUUGUAUUGACGGUAUCUAACCAGAAAGCCACGGCUAACUACGUGCGAG
rnacentral:rRNA from 1 species